CAGGCUUCACCUGCUACUCAACACAGGGUAGGGCUGUGUCUGUGGCAAGAGGACAUGACCUUGAGAAUCCUUUACUACGGGACCAAGAGCUCUACCAGUUGUCUCACCAGAUGCCUGGCCCUGAGGAGUGACUUGAAGACUUUAUUGAUGAAUAAGGCAUGAUCCAGUUAAUUUCAUAUACUCAGGUCAAAUCUAGUUGGUUGAACCUGUGGAUUCAGAAUCAGGAUACAAGGGACCAACUUGCUCUACAUAUGAAUCUACAAGAAGAAAAGUAUUGGUAUAGAAGUAUACUAUAAGUUUAAGAGCACACACCUAUAUAAACAUACCCAUGAGGAUAGGUAUACACUAGAAGUUCAGAUAAUCAUAAGUGCUAAUUUGUACAAAUUUUAAUGAAAACACUUUAACAAGCAAAAUAAAUACCAGCAAAAGAUCCUUCUGAUGUAUAAACAUCUAGAGGACAAUGAAGAAGCCUUACUCCAGAGCAUAAUUCAUCUCCCAUUUGACUUCAACCAGGGUAGAUGCAGGAAGUUGAGAGGAAUCCCAUUCUGGAUCUAGUGAAUGUAGGGAAGUUCGGUACCUAAAAUUCAAUCAUCUCAUGACACUUUGACUUUGAAACACUCUAUGAGUCUCUGGGAAGCUCACUGCAUAUUUACUUAAUGUCUCAAAAUUAUGAGACCUUGACCUGUACUGUCCACAGAGACCUAUUGGUCUCCCAAAGAGACACUGUGGCCUCUAAUCCCAGUUAAAGACAUAAUUUCUUUUGCUAAACGUAGCCUGCGUUCUUUAUUAGUCUGGUACAUUCUUUUGCAUGUAGUGAUGAAAUUUGAUUCAUUGUUGUUUAAGUGCAUUGGGCUUCAGUUAUACUCUCUUCUUGAUGUUUUGCAGUGGCAAAUAGAAGGCCACCAAAUUCAUUUAAGAUGAAGGAAAACUGUUCUUUAUUAAAUAUGUACCACAAGUGAUGUAUACUCCAUCUUUCCCCUGA